GGGAAAAGAAUGAUACUACCUUAGUUAGAGUGUUGUCUAAUUCUGGUGCCAAAAGACUCGGUAACGCCAGUAACGCGAACGUUAGUCAUCUUAAUCAGGCGUAAAGGGUUUGUAGGCAGCUUUAAAAAGAAUACUUAAAGAAAUUAAAUUAACCCUUUUUUAAGUUGUUUGAAAUUAAAGCUAGAAUCUUAUAGGAGUUAUUAAGUAUAAUAUUUAGAGGAGGGUUAAUAUUCAUAGAUCCUAAGUGGAGUACUCGCGGUGUAAACAACUAACUAUUUAAGAUUGACGCUCAGACACGAAAGGGAGGAUAGGAAAUGGGAUUAGAGACCCCGCUACCCCUCCCCGUAAACGAUGAAUGGUGGUUGUUAGAAUUUAACUGGUGACGAUGUUAACGCGUUGACCAUUCCGCCUUGGGAGUACGACUGCAAAGUUGAAAACAAAAAAAUUAGUCGGUCUUGAAGCAAACGAAAUGAAG
rnacentral:rRNA from 1 species